UUUUCCCUGUAACUUGUGGGGAGUUUGGUAAUUUUUUAAUUGACUUGCAUUUCUUGUCUUGGUGGGGUUUAGUCACUGCCUGUCUUUGUGCAAAAUGUUCCUCAGCUGCAGAACACAUGAAAUUCAAGCUUAUAAAGGUACAACAUUACAUAUUUUACAUGUUUGAGCUUCAAGGUACAAGUCAGUAAAGGCUAAGUUUUCAACUGAGAAUUUGUGGGGAAAAGAAAAACCACUGUAGGUAAAUCCUGUAAACUUUCUUCUUUUGAUGGUCUUUAAUAUUUCUUAGUCUAGUAAAGGUCUAAAUUUUUUAAUAUAAAUCCAAUCUAUUCCAAUAUAAUUGAUGAUUUAUUUUUUUUUUGUAUAACAGUAAUUACUCAUCUCCUUUGAAUGGCUGAUUCAGUCCCUGUUUUCAGCCCUCGUGUCAAGUACUGGGAUAACAUGAGGACUGUACAUGCUGACUUAUCCUUUUCCAGCCUGAAGAUGGGUGUUAGCAGAAGGAUAAUGAACUAUUGUUAGCUAAUUAUGUUACAGUGAAGCAGAAUGCUUUCAAUGGCAACACUGGACCUACAGUCCUUCCAGUUUUACCUUGUGUGAGGGAUUUUUGUCUUGAGGGGAGAAAACAACCCUCUGUCCUGAGGCAGAGCAAGUUAGUGAGUGGGAAAGGAUCCAGAGGUGUUGGAAAUUCUGUCCUAAUUCAUCCAGGCCUCUUUGCUGUCGCUGACAAGCACAAACUGAAAAAAAAAGUUUCUGCAAGUGGCUUGACAUGUGUAGAUUCUGUGAACUCCAUUCCAGAGGCUGAUAUAAAUACGUUGGGAAGUGAGACCAUGUCAUUUAUGAAGCAGCUUCUACAAAUCAUCACCAUUUCCUGGGUAAGUAUUGCCCUGAGAGUGUUUUCAUGUUACAUUUCAUAAUUUAAAUGCUUUGCUUUGCUUAGUCUGAGAUCUUUGAGGGAUUACAUACUUGUUCCUGGACUUGGAUGCCUUUUACCUGAGGUUUUGAAGGCAUUCCAGAGGGUCUGCUGGUGUAGGGUAAUCCAGACCUUAGUGAAACGAAAUGAGGAAGAACAGUAGUGUUUUCUCUCUGAACAUCAGAAACCAAAAAGGAGGUUUUCUGUUAAUUGUAUUUAAUUUUGCACUUGGGAAUUAGACAAGUAAAAACAAACUAAAAAUUAAAAUCAAGCAAAUUUAGGAACUGCUUUAAAAUUCUCUACUCUUAAAUUCCAGUGUCUCGUGAUGUAAUUUCUGAUGUAUUUAAGGACUGAGUUUCCCUCUGGUUUACAUUGUUGGAAUCAGAGUCUGCGGGCAGUUCUGUAAUGUUGGAUACUGCUGGUAAAUAGCUGGUUUAUUGCACCCUCUUCCUGAGGGGUUUAGAAGAAAAUAACAAUUCACAGCAACAUUCAUUCAUGUUCAAAGAUACCAGCUACCAAAACUAAUGGUUAAACAUUCCUUUAUUACAGCUGUUUGCAAAUGCAUGUGAUAAAAUCCCAUUUUUGCAUUGUUAGGGACAAGAACUUUGCUGGACGAGUGCUGUUUUUCAUUCCUUUCCCAUUUCUGAAGUACCCUUCCUUACUGAGUGAAGUUGCCAAAGAAGGAAAAAUAAAGUCCUCCCCUCUUCUCAAAUGCUUAAAGAAGCAAUUGUCCAAUCCUAAAAAUAACCACUGCAUCCAAAAUACAUUGGUGAACUCCAGGCCCUCUCUUGGUGGGAAUUUUGCCAUGAAUUUCAGGGAGAUCAGCACUUUGAUGUGAUGGCCAACUCCUGAAGUUGAGAUGUUCCUGGGUGGUUGUGCCAGCUGCCUCUUGUUCUUUUUCCCAGAAUAACCACUUCCAUGAGGUAUUUACCACUUACAAACAUGAAGUAGGGCCUAGAGUGAGCACUCCACAUUACAGAGUGGCUAUCACUGAAAACACACACCAAAUGCUUCCCUGAAACUUUUCCUGGGGGUUAUUUUUAGUUGUUCAUUUGAGAUUGAUGGUGACCCUCUGAGAAAAAGGCAAACUUCAACAAGCCAUGAGGGAACAACUGCCAUCUUUGAAGUAAUGAAGGUUUGGUGAUUCUUAUGGACCAUGAACUACUUACAUUAGAGCUGGUAUGUGCAUAUGAGUAAUUAAUUUUAAACAAAUGAACUUUCUAGAAGAUAAUUCAGCCUUGAAAGAGAUGGGGUUUAUGCUGAAGUCCAAAUAGAGCUGACUGUGUGUCCUCUUGCAGAGCUUGUCCACGGUCAUGAGGCCAAUUAACAGAAUAUCACAGGAUCCUUGGGGGUGCAGCAGAUUUCCCUUUUGAAAACAAAGGACUGAUUAGUUUGCUUUGGUAAAACCCAUUCAAGUGGAAAUUUGUGUGGAUACUUCACAUGCUUUGUUACAUCAGAGCUUUAGCACUGACUUUGCUGUUUAGGUUUAUUCUUUCCCAACAUUACUCCUUCUACAGCAGUUUGCUCUCUAAAUGAUGGGGUGUUCCUUCUGUCCUGUUCCAUCCCAUCUGAGGAGUGUGUCCCUCCCUCCAAAUUGGUGCUUUGCAGCCAAAAUUAUGAGGCACUGUGUGUGAUGGUGAUGAAACCACCUCCCUUGUAUGUGCCAGUGGUGCUGGGCUUUGCAAAGUUGGAUUUGCAGGAGAUGAUGCCCCAAGAGCUUUAUUUCCAUGCAUCAUUGGACAUCCUGGACAUCAGGUCAGUUGGUACCAAAAUGAAAGUUCUGUUUGGUUUGGAUGGUUGUGUUCUGGGGGGAAAAAAACAAACCAGCUUGUUCAAUUAAUUAGUACUUGCUGAAUCAGUGUGAAUUAAAAACAUUGGCAGAGCAUUGCUAACAUGAGAAACCAAAUGAAUAAUAGUGAUAAGUUCCCUUUUUGUUCCAUUAAGCAACAGUAUGGCCCAAUAAAAUUCCAAAGAGGGUCUCUAGCACAUCACUUUAUAACCUCAAAUAAGACUGGAAAGGAUAACUGUGGCUUUUCUUGACCUUGAAAAGGGUCUUUCUGCUUAAUUAGAUUUCUAAAAGUUCCUUUGCAAAUAGAAGAUGCAAAUUUUUGUUUGUUUUGUUCUGAGCCAAAUUUUGAUUUUUUGGACUGUCAAAACCCUUCCCUGAAGUUCUGUGUCAUGAAAAAUAUUUUACCAUGUGUUGUUAUAUUAUUUGGGGCAAUUGUGAUACACUUCCUAAUGCAAAAGUGAUAAACUUAGUAAAACUAUUAUUUAAUAAGUGAGGGGUUUUUUAAAGAAAAUCUAUCUUUUAUAUAAGUAUCUCAGUUUCAUGAGACUGAAGAAUUUUACUGAGGAUGAGUUAUGAGGGAGACCAAGCUCCUCCCUCUAAGCAAGUGGAAAUCCAAAAUUAAGAGGCUCCAAUGGAAAAAGUAUGGAGAAAAAAAAACAACAGCCCUUUAUUAAAGGCUAUAUAUGUAUUGGCAGAACAACAAAAGAACACAAAACCAACUGAACACUAAUCCUGUACCCAACAGUCCCCUCCAAAAAGGAAACAGUUCGGCACUUUCUGCCUUUGGGCGCGAUUCCCAGCACGGCCAGCAGGGGGCGCCGUUGGAUGGCUGGGGGAGCAGAGCCUGCAGUGCUCGGGGUUGGCCAGCAGGGGGCGCUGUUGGGCUCUGGCAGUCGCCGCGCGAGGCCCCGGGGUGGGAGAGGCCGAAAAUGGAGAUUUCCCCCCAAAACCAAGAAGGGGAAGGGGAAAAGGGGAAAAAAGGGUUCUUCCCACGAACUCACGCUGUCAGCGGCUGGCUGUGGCAAGGACUCCCCCAAAGGUUCCUUCGCAGAAGGGUGAAGCCUCUCCGAUGAAAUCUGAGCAAGUCCGGGCUGGGGGCAGAACAGGGCGCAGGAGAACGGAGGCGAACCGGGGCCAGAAGCAGCCAGAUGACCCGGCCGAAAACAAAGCGAACUCAGAGCCCUUCCACACACACCCCUUCCCUGAGUCAGGGCAAAAGCGAAAUGCCUGCUGUUUCCCGAGGAGAGGGAAAAAAACCCUCAUCACCUCACCCCCCCCAAGUCUUCUGCGAGUUAUGAGCCUGGAAUGCGGGUCGCUAGCUAGUUCCUUUGUGUGUGUCAAUCAGCCUGGGCAGACACCCUCCCCCUCCCUCGUUCAACAUCUUUCUUUUACAGCUAUGCAGAGGAAAGAAAAAAAAAUUCCCCCUUGGUUUUUUUAGAACAAGUAAACCUAUGACAAUAAGUUAAUGCUUUUUCCCCCCAAAAAUGUAUAUUUUUAAAAAUAUAUUUCUCUUCCAACAAGGGGAAAUCUCCCUGUUUCAAGGCAAUAGUGGAACUGCUUAGACAGAAAGAGCAACCAAAUAAGUAAAUCUAUAGAGAUUAUACCUUUUCCACCUAUAAUUCCUUCCCUUUAUUUCUUUGUGCAGUGACAAAGGACCCACCUCUGAUGGAGAAUGAUGAGUUUGCUGGUGCCCACCUUGGCUGGACUCCUCUGUGGGCAUCACCAUGAUGUUAUGGUUGGAGUGGAUCAAAAAGACAGCAAUAUAGAGGCUGAAGCACCCAGUAAAAGAGGGAUCCUGAGGCUGAAAUACCCCACUGAGCAUGGAGUUAUCAGUAACUGGAGUGACAUGGGAAAGAUUUUGACAUCAUUCUUCCUACAACAAACUCUGGUUUUGCUGGAAGAACAUCCCACCCUUUUGACUGAGACCCCCUUGAAUCUGAAGGCCAGCCAUGGAAAAAAUGACUCAGAUUCUGUUUAAAACAUUCAGUGUACCAGCCAUGUGUGGAGCAAUUCAGGCAGUGCUGUCUCUGCCUUGGGACCAAUGACUGAAGUAUAAAAGACCACUAAGGAUCAUCCAGGCUGUUUUCCAUCCCACUGCUGGCUGAGGCAUGUCUGACUGCAGUGAAUGUCAAGGUAAGGACAAAAUUUGGGGCCCAAUUCAUUCACUAGCAAUUGCUGUAAGUCAAUCUGUUUUGCUUGCUUCAAUUUUAGGUAAAAGUCUUGAUUUCUGUUGUAAAUCUUCAUCUAGAAACUGUGGGGAGAUGUGCUGAGUUAUGUCUAAAGUGUGACAGCAAGGCCAAGUCUUCAUCAUAUCAGAGUUGGGCCAAAGCGUGGAAUAGUGAAAACCAUUCAAAAUACCCAUCAGUCUGUGCUGGUUUAACAGGGCAUUUUGGAAAACAGCAGUCCUGAGAGAAAGAAGCCAAGAAUAGUAAUGUAGUGACAGCAAGCAGUGAGAGUUGCAAGGCCUGACGUGAGUUAAAUGUGCAAAGGCGGAAGCCGAGCCCAACAACAACCUGGUAUGGAGGAGAAUGAGAUUAAGGGGUUGAAAUAUCUCCUGCUUAAGGUUUGCCUCAGGCAAGAGCGAGUUUGUAGGUGUAAUAUGUUGUUGAAUUUUAAUAUGGAAAUGUUUCCUGGCAUGUAUUUCAAACUCCCUAGAAAUAGUGAUAUUGAUCUAACCUUCAAUUAAUGGGAGAGGUCCUCUGUGAAAAUCGGGUCUGGGUUUGAAUGGCAAAUAGCUUUAAUAUUCUGAGCAGAGUGGAUCAUUUACACAGCUCAGUAAGAGACUAUAAAUCACCAGGACUUUGGCUUUUUUUUUUUUUAUUAUCAUUUUAAUGCAGGCUUGCUUUCCCUGGAGCAAAGGACCAGGAGUGUGGUGGAUCAUUAAAAAAUCACAGAGGUGAUGUCAGUAGGUACAGACAACAAAUAAUACAGUUAUGCAAAAGGGAGUUAUUUGAAAUCCAUUCCUGUUCUCUGUUGCCAUGUUUUUCAGAAAUCUGCUCUCUUUUGGGCAGUGGGAUGAGAUGAACACUCCCCCCCUUUAGCCUUUACACAAUCCAGGGGUAUCUUUCUACUUUCAGUUUGCACAGAACAUCCAUUCUAAAGGCCAUUUUUAUAGCAGUCUUUUUCCUUCUAGGCUGUUGGCAAAUAACCUUUCUUAACCAUGAAUUAAUACAGAGUUUAACUGAAGUUGAUGCUGAUAUUGAGCAGUAUUCUAUAGAGCUGUUCAUGAUCCAGGUUUACAUUUUGCAGGUUUACUCUCUUUAUUGAUUUCCUAUCUGGCCCAGAGAAAAUUAGGUUCUUACAGGGCUUCAAAGCCUCUAAUUAAACCAGAGAAGAAUUUCAUCCAGUCCUGGCCUCCACUGGUCUGUGAAAUACCCAAACUGAGAGAUCACCUUGACCAAGUGGACUCCCUGAUUUAAUAAUACCAUUCAUAGAGCUUGCACCUUCAGAACUGACCUUCCCUAGCAGUUUGACCUUGGAAGUGUCACUUUUAUUUAGUUUAAUAAAAUAAAAAGAAAAGAAAAAAAGGAAGAAUGGCUCCAGUCUGCCUAAACUUGCCUGGUUUGUGCUACUCAAGUUCCAAAUGACAAUCCUAUCUGCCCACUUUCUGCUAUUAUAGUCUUAGCUCUGUUUCUGGAUCUACCUAUUUCCCUGCUGAAAGGUGGAGCAGGAUGAAUUGGGUAGAGUUUUGUCAUACUUUUUAGCUGAAAAAGCAUUAAUUAAGUGCUGUGGUCUGGGUUUGAAUUUAUUUUACUUUUGGUAAGGUUUUUUUUCUGCAACAAAAUAUCCUCUUCUGAUCUCUUAUAUAGACUUAUUUUCCAAAGGGUUGUAUGGUGGUUGUCUGCAGAAAAUACCGCUACUCUGAACAUUUUCCUAUGGCCAUUCCAGUUGCUGCAGGUUUUGCUGUUGUCCUUGGUGAGUGAGAGAAGAUGUGAUUCUCUGAAUGUGUGCAAUUCCCUGGCCAGGCAACUGCUUGGGGAUUGUCAGGAAGCUUUCCUUCUGGAAGCUCUUCCUCUCUGGGAGUCUUGUAAAGAGCAUUUUGCAUUGCAGGUUGCUCACUAAAUCAGCUGUUUGGCUCCCUCACAGAGCUGCUGAAUUAACAUGAUGUGACCCAGGGAUGCGAAGGGAUUUCUUUCAUUAGCAGGGCCGGGAUGCUCAGGAGAACACAAGAUGUGUUUCCCAGACAACAGCUGAUGUCGCUGGUGACUGGAAGAAAGUACAAAGGUUGAAAAAGGAGCUUAUGAAGAGUAGGGAUCAAUUUAGGGGGGGGAAAAAAGAAGCAAAAUUAUAGAUUUUUACAAAAUAUAAAACACAACAUAUAGACCUGCUUACAAAGUCUGUGAAACAGCUGUGAGAGUCUCAGGAAUAAAAAUCCUUCACAAAUGAACGGCAAAGAAAUGCAGUUUAAAACACCUCCUGAAGUCUGUACAUGCUGCAACCUUAAAGUCACAAUCCUUACCCGACUUUUUUUCUCCAAAAUAAAACAAUCCAGAAUGAUAAUCCUGCUGGUAUAAACACAGAUGGCAAUUUGCACACGAUUUCAUUUCAGCUGAAGUUUUACUUCAAAUUCUGAGCGGAAAAAAUAAACCAUCUCUGGGUGCUCAUGAUAGGAAGGCUGCUGCAGACUUUUGGUUAAUAUUUAAGAAGCAUUCCUGACAGAGAACUACUGUGCAUCAGCCUGACAAACCAGCCUGUGGCUCACUUUUGCAAAAUAGCUUAGGAACUUGCAUGCAUCAUUCAUCUCCUUCAGUAUCUAGAGAAAGAUGACUUAAAUUUCCCUCAUCUGACCAUUUUUAAACCAUUUAAAAGAUUAUUUUUUUGUGCUUAAAACUAUAGCCACUUGGGCUAACAAUCAUAACUAUUCUAGGAUCCAAAAGGUAUGUGUUUUUUAGGUUGCAGUUUCACAGAUGUCCGAGUUGAUCUGUUGGCUUGUUGCCAUUAGCAAGGCAGGGGCUUUUUCUCCCCUCUCAUCAAUUCCCUCCCUUUCCUUUUGCCUGCUCUGCGGUGGUCAAACAAAUGGCCUCUUUUGUUUUGUGUUCACUAAUUAGCUUCCAGAUGGGUUAGUGAGUUGAAUUGUCUUUUGGACAGUCCUGGCAACCCUCAAGGCUGAUGCCAAGUGAAAGCAGACAAAGGGGGAGUUGGCUGCCCCCUCUACUGGCAGGAUUUUAUUGCAUUGCCCUCCUGUUUCAGGAAUCUUCAGCAUCAGGGGAGAGAAUGUGGUGUAUGCUGAGAAACAAGAGUUCUUGUCUAUGUCCAAAAUCCAGUAAUACCUCUUUCUAUAGUCUUGGACCAGGACUGCCAAAAGGUAGGAAUGGGUGGGUAACAGAGAAGGAAACCCUUCUCAGGACAACCAAAGGACAUGAUCAAAGCAAUGGUCACAGACAGAAAAAGGUAACUUCCAGUUAGAUUUAAGGAGAGAAUUGUUAUCCUGUAUGUGGAUGUGCACUGGCAGAGGCUGCCUAGGGCAGUGGGGGGAAUCUUCAUCUUUAGAGGCUUUUAAAACUUGACUGGACAUUGCCAUGAACAAUCUGAUUUAAUUUACAAGUUGGCUCUGUGUCACGCAGGAUGUUGGACCAGGUGAACACCAAAGGUUUCUGCCAGUCUGAUUUUUUUCUUCUACAGAUGCAGGGUAAUUUUUUUCACUUGCCCAAGCUCUUAAAGAAACAAUCUGAAAACAGCCAUCAUAACAACUGGUAACAGUUCUGUGUUUCAAGCAUGAAGCUGUUUCUGUGAGUAUCAGAGACUGAAACGGUUAAUGAUUUAUGCAUUCUAGGAUUGCCAGGAGACUUUUGCAGGCUUUUGUAGGACUUUUGCAUUAUACCUCUGAUGGGCAGCUGGGCCCAUCUCCCCCUCCAGUGCUGCUGAAGGUGUCAAGCCCUGAAAAGGUGAGAAGAGCCGUGUUUACCUUGCCCUCCACGUGAACUCUGCUCUGGGCUGUCCGAGAUGUUGGAGGUUGAUGGUGUGGCCAUCAAAGCCCAUCCCCCCCGCCAAUCUUGAAAGGCGGGAAAAACCCUUUUACGAGGCCCCUCACGGGAACUCUGCCCAGGCCCAGCAGACACUGGAGGCUCGUGGCAUGGCCCGGGACACCAUCCAUGGAUAUAACAACUCAUAACUUCUUGGAGUGCGGGGCUUCCCUCCCCCACCCCAGUGGAUCAAGGCCACCACUUCAACUCACAGACAUGGAAGCUGCAACUCCCAAGUUCCAUCGCUGGACCCCGUGGGCGGUGACUAUAGACAUCUUUCCACUCUCAGCUUUGCUUUCCCUUACUCUCCCUUACCCUUUCCUUUCUCUCCUUUAUGCAUUUUCCCUAAAGGUUAUCUUUAUGCCAUAUUGCUAUAGAUGAGAGAUAUAGAUGAUAACACCCAAAAUGGCAACAUACCUGUUUAUCUUUGAAACAAAAUUGUUCUAAAAUAAACCCUACGUAUAUAAGUUUUCAAACACCAAUUAUUUAAUGUCGUUUCACUCUAAUCCACCCCAAGGGAUUUAUUAAUAAAACCUGGGUUACCCCCCCCUUUUCUGGGGCGGAUCGUAACAGUGUGUCUCUCUUUUUCCACAUCAGCAUCUGGUGGACAAUUGUUAAGCCGUGACUGUUGCUGAAAAACUUUGACCGGUGGUUUUUUUUAACUUUUAACUGUUGUUUGACCUGGGAUGCUUUCAGUUCUCUUAUUAGAAAAAGGAGGAAUAAUAGUAAACACCUCUUAAUUUAUUGCUUGCUUUUAAUUAAUAUCUUUUCCUUUCUCAAAACUGUUUCCACUCUCUCAGGCCCACGUUGGGCAAAUAUGUUGGUAAAGUUUGUUGGAAUAAGAGGUUACAAUAAAAGCAGAGCUCUGGGAUGCUGCAGUUUAUUGAACUACUCGCUGAAUAAGUUUUCCUCUCCACUGCCUGCCAGUGGAUGUCACACUUACACAAAAAUGGUGCAAGAAAGGAGCCGAAUUUCUACUUUUUUCAUUAAAAAAGAGUUCUUGCAGUAAGUCUUUACAAUCUCCUGAAAGAAAGCUUUGGCUUCAGUGGGAAGGCAGCCUGAGGGAAGAAACAAAAAUCAGCAUAUCCUGUGUAUUCAGUGAGGAUUUAUUUUCAGUUUUAUGCACCUGGACUGAGGGGUUCCUAAGAGAUAAUGAGGGAUUUUACUGUGAGGAGUUAUCAAAUCUGUAAGAAAAGCUUUCUCCCUGGUUUUAUUAGUGAACUCUAUCUAUGCAAGGGAAUUCUGUUAUAAAUACAACUUAAUAUGAAUGUCACAGAAUCACAGUAACAGUUUCAUCAUGAUUUUCUUAUCAGAGCAAUGUGACCUUGGCAUUUUCUUCUAAUUCUUUGCAUUGUGACUUUCUUUGUUGUAUUUCAGCAAAACAUCAAGGCAGUGAGGUGCUGCUGAUCUGGGGCUUCUGUGCCCUGGAAAAAGUGGUGUCAAGGUUAUCACGGAAGUUUGUAUUUAAAUUGUGAAGCAUUGAAAACGAGCAAUGGUUCAAUGGUACUGUACACACAAACUGAAGUGGACAAAAGUAGCUUUUAAAGACAGUUCUGAGUACUAGAGAGAUUAUUGCCAUUCCCUGAGGCACAGGAAACUUAAGAGGCUUAACCAAAAACUGCAGGAGUUCAUUGUGAGAAGCCUGGGCUGAUGCCAGAGAAACCGA